ensembl:lncRNA novel transcript
AGAGCCAAGACCCGGCCCUCAAGUCCUCCUAUUAGGGCAGCACUAGGGCUACCUCUUUGUCAGCAGAACCUUUGGAUAGCCGCUGAUGGGGUGAGUCAGCUUUCUGGGCCCGGCAGACCUUUUGGGAAUCCCUGGCUUUUGGGGCACAACAUCCUGGGGACCACCAAAAAGCCCUUUCACCUGAGCUUUGGGAAAGAGGAACAGCUCCGGCUGUGGGUGGCUCAUGUCACCAUCUGGAAGCCAGCUGGGCCACAGCAGACGCGCUGUAAGCUCCUUGGAGGCAAGGAUUCUGUCUGCUUCACCUCUAAAGCUUCAGCAUGGCAUGUGCCCUGCAAAUGGCAGUGCCAGUGGACAUAUGCUAGAUGAGUGGAUGAAGGACCAUCCCACAUCAGCUCAUCGUGGAGUAUGCAGCUCAGUCCUCCCGCCUCUCAGGGACAACUUGGAUCUUCACCGUUCUUCGCCACUAAGAAUUCCAGUCAUCUACAUUCAGAGGGAAGCUGAGCAAACUGGCUCCUGCCCACACUGGAAAAUUUCUCUGCCUAAACCAGCUUCCCUAAGCCGAGGGGAGAGUCCAAGAUCCCGAAGAUGGCAGGGCCGUGCAGGCUCCUGGGAUUAAGACACAAACAAGCCCUGUUCUCAGGCUGACAGUAAAUGGUUCAGACAGUCCUGAUGACUUGUGCAUUGUGACUGACACGGGACACAGCCACGGAAGUGGAGUCACGGUACCCAAAACCAGAGAGGUCAGAGGCCAGACACUUAUCUGGGCUGCAGGACCUGGUGCCCACCUCUGUGGGUCUUUCUCAAAGACUAUGGCAGAAACUUCCUGGUUCCAAGGGAC